rnacentral:rRNA from 1 species
UGGGGGAUAUUGCACAAUGGGCGAAAGCCUGAUGCAGCGACGCCGCGUGGGGGAUGAAGGCCUUCGGGUUGUAAACUUCUUUUGCUCUGAACAAGGCGCACCAUGGGGUGUGUUGAGUGUAGGGGUUGAUUAGCGCCGGCUAACUACGUGCCAGCAGCCGCGGUAAUACGUAGGGCGCGAGCGUUGUCCGGAAUUAUUGGGCGUAAAGGGCUUGUAGGUGGCUGGUUGCGUCUGUCGUGAAAGCUCAUGGCUUAACUGUGGGUUUGAGGUGGGUACUGGCUGGCUUGAGUGCAGUAGGGGAGGCUGGAAUUACUGGUGUAGCGGUGGAAUGCGCAGAUAUCAGGAGGAAUACCGGUGGCGAAGGCGGGUCUCUGGGCUGUUACUGACACUGAGGAGCGAAAGCAUGGGGAGCGAACAGG